CAAAGAACAUCUCUGAUACCAUGUUAGAUGUUGAUAAGAAUGGGCAUACUUUCAUUAAGGCAAGAGGCCAAUAAAUAGAUACAAUGUGUAUAAAUACAGAAGUAGUUAGUAUGUAUAAACAGUAAGAUACAAAGUAUAGUAUAAGUAUAUAGUAGUCCUCUAACAAGUAUAGUAUAAGUAUAUACUAGUCCUCUAACAAACAUAAUUUUUAUUGCAAAUAUGUGACUUGGUGACUCAACGAUGUGUUUAGUUUGAGCUCGCAAAUCACUUGGUUUCAACUUUCAACGUGAGAUGAUAGCAUUUAAAUUUUCUGAGUUUUUCUUCUCAUGAGGAAUUAGUAUACCAAUCAAUUCUUUGCCGAAGCUUUUGGCCGAAUUGGAGGAUGGAAGCUUGAAUUACAAUUAGAGGUUCUGAAGGAAUGAGAAGUGGACGUGCAUGACUUGGAUUAAUUGGUGAAUAUGAAAUUUCUCGCCUACAUUUCGAGCAGACAGUAUGCUCUCUGAUGUGCCUUCCAGUUCCAGGUAGCAGAACGGGCAUUAUUUCUGUGGAACAAUGAUCAUGUGCGAAAUUUGAUAGCCCAAAACCGGAAGGUCAUUCUACCGAUCAUCUUCCCAGCUUUAGAGAAGAACACACAGGAGCACUGGAACCAGGCUGUGCACAAAGCCUAACUUUGAAUGUGAGGAAGCUGUUUUUUGGAUGCUGACCAAGAACUUUUCGAGGAAUGCUUAACAAAAUUCCAAGAAAACAAGGCCAAGGAAAGAGAGUUGCAAGAUAAACGGGAAUUAAUUUGGCAACGCUUAGAAGAAAUUGCAGCAUCCAAAGCUGUCAGCAACGAAGCUGUACUUGUCUCUCGUGUCAGAUCCUCCCUUACCAUUCCCAGCACUAGUCCGCGAUCUCCUGUCAGCACCUGAGAGGAAACAAAGAUAACAUGCAGAAAAGUGUACGUGCUACUGAAUCCUGCAGGUUAGUUAUUGCUCAUUGUAAGGUUA